CGCGUAGGCGGCCUGAUAAGUAGGGGGUGAAAUCCUGCGGCUUAACCGCAGGGCUGCCUUCUAAACUGUCAGGCUUGAGCACAGUAGAGGCAGGUGGAAUUCCCGGUGUAGCGGUGGAAUGCGUAGAGAUCGGGAAGAACAUCAGUGGCGAAGGCGGCCUGCUGGGCUGUUGCUGACGCUGAGGCGCGACAGCGUGGGGAGCAAACA
rnacentral:rRNA from 1 species